rnacentral:rRNA from 1 species
CCAGCAGCUGCGGUAAUUCCAGCUCCAAUAGCGUAUAUUAAAGUUGUUGCAGUUAAAACGCUCGUAGUCUGAGGGGGGGCGGGUGAGUGCGUGGCUGUGAGGCUGUGCGCUUGUCUGUCGGUUGGGCCGCGAGGCCUGGAUUACUUUGAGGAAAUUAGAGUGUUCAUUGCAGGCAGUGCUUGGAUACCGCAGCAUGGAAUAAUGGAGUAGGAUUCGCAUCUUAUUUUGUUGGUUUGGGGGUGUGAGUAAUGAUGAAUAGGGGCAGUUGGGGGCAUUGGUAUUUGGCAGCUAGAGGUGAAAUUCUUGGAUUUGCCAAAGACUGACUGGUGCGAAAGCGUUUGCCAAGGAUGUUUUCAUUGAUCAAG